GGCUCCGUAGCUCAGCUGUUAGAGCGUGUGCUGUAAAAAGGGGUAGGCGGCGUCCAUACGUGGGUUCGAAUCCCAACGAGGCUA
rnacentral:tRNA from 1 species